UCUCGCUGUAGGUGGUGACGGUGGGGAUGGGGCCGUAGAAGAUGUCGUCCCGAUAGUGCUUCUCCGAGUCGUACUUCACCUCGGAAUUGCACCUAUGGAGGACAGACAGCAAGGUAUGAGGAGCACAGCCCAGGCAGCAAAGGAGGAAAGACAGGCAGGACUCUUCUCUAACCCUUCGAAGCUGGCAGCAUUUACCACCUCUUACUGCACAGACAUUGGGGCAGAUGCCAGCUCCACACUCCAAAGCCUGGAUGAGCCUUCCUAGAAGAGUACUCUGUCCUGCUGGGGAAUCUUGUUGGAACCCCACUGUGAAUCCAUCCUGGCAUUUCUGCAGUGUGGUCAUACCAGGGCAGACAACACCUUUGUUACACAGGCUGCAAGCAAUGCUCUUCUUCCUCUGGUUUUCUCCAUGGGUCCUCAGCUCAGCCCUGAGAGCUACACUGGAGGCAAACACCCUGCAAUGGACCUGUGAAGGCUGUUUGUCUUUAUUCUCUAUACCACCUUGCUGUCAUUGAACAAAGAUGCCCAAACCAGCUAAAAUCUGAGUGCUGGGAGAUGAGGUUGCUUGUUGGAGCCUACAAAAAAAUCCAAGCAAUGCUGAAAAAGCAGGUAAAGCAAAUGGAUAUUGUGGGGUAUGGCUGCCCAGCCACUGGUGUCAAAAAGAACUGGCCACCUGAACUGCCAGUAGAUGAAGAACCACAAAAGGGUACAUUCCACAUCAGCAAAAGAGCAAAAGAAGAGCAAAGACCAACAUUUAUCCAUCGGCCACAGCACCAGCCCCACAGGAGGGCAGAACAUCUCCGUCACUGGCUUGAGGGACCAUCUCCUCACACGGAGGAGCUCAUUCAGUCUCUGUGGGAUGUCUAAUGUUGGUUUCUCUGUGGCAAGAGUGAACAAAAACAGGUGGCAAUUAGAAGGGUGUUGCUUCUUCUGAAGAUACAAGUCAUCUGGGAACAGUAUGAAGACCAUCAGAUUACUUAGUGGAAGCCAUCAAGCCCACAGAUGGUAAUGGUUUUCUCUCAGAGCCUUGGAUUUUAGCUGGCCUUGGAAGGAAAGCUGCCUCCUGUUAAAACUCCCUCCAGUUCUUGCCUCCUCCCCUCUGCCUGUGCUGCUAUCGGUGGCUUUAAUUCAGGAAUUACCCUCCCACCUGUCCUUCCCUUUCCACCAAAAUAACCAUGACUCCAAUUUGUAAACACAUUUUAAUUUUUGGCAGAUGCACCAGAAAAAAGACAGAAAUCCCCAUCUACCCACCCAAUCCCAUCUGUACCUGAUUUCCUGCACGGGCUCAGGGUUGACCUCAAUGCUUUCUCCAAAAAACACCGGGUACAUUCGAGGCCUUAUCUCUGGCAUGGACGGGUUCAGGAGCAGAUAAGGCAUCUGCAGGGAAGGAGAACACAGCAAGUGUUGGGACAUGACAGAUGGGGCUGGCACAGUUCAUAAUGUGCUGUGGCUGGCAGCUGAGCAGCCUAACACACCUGGACUGUCCUCACCUACCACCGCCUCCCUCUGCCCCAGCACACCUCCCAGGUACGUGACUGUGCCCACAUCUCUGUCGCUUCAUGCUGCAGUAUCUGUUUGUCAAAAUUUAACCUUGCCUUUCCUUCUUCCUUUCUUGUUUCUCAUAGGAAUUGCAAUUGUUUUCUUUAGCUCUGAUAUUGCCUUUACUGCUUACUGUUUCUAAAACUUAAGAAGUCAAGCCUUAGAAAGUCAAAGUCAAAUCAAGACUUUGAGUAAAGGGAUUCAAAAUGUGUCAGCAUGGAAAAGUGCUCCAUGCCUGACCUAACAGCAAUAGGGCCUAAAGCUGCUGACUUGAAGGAUGUAGGUCUACUGAAGUGAGAGGUGUAUAUGUAUUUUUAUAGAUAUACAUACAAAUGUGUACAUAAAAUCAUGUAUCCCUUGCAACAAUCCAGCAGAGGAAGUGACAGACUUGCUGUUCCCGAAGUCUACGUGCCAAAAAUGUCUCUUGUGCUCCAAAGGACAUUCUUGUUAACCAUAAAACUGAGGGUGGGGUGAGACACUGGGGCACCUUGUGGCCUCUGCAAUGCAGGAAGCCAGUUGCAAGCCAGGACUUUAUAAUGAAUGGAGCAGCUCCAAUUCAGGACACCAAAAACUGGAUUUUUAAGACUGACUGCACCGUGAACUUACUCUGACAAAUUGUCACAGGCCAGCCUAGGCUCCUCUGCCCACCACUAAAUUACUAAUCCCACUUUUCUAUACUGGAAUGCUCCUAAACACCAAUUCCCACAUAUGGAGAUCCUGUGUCUGGUGCCUGGACCAAACCCAGCAGCUAAUUCAGCCUAAUCCUGCCCUCCUGGAAAAAUGUCACUGCAGGUUUCAGUCUCUGCCACUACUUUUCUGUCAGCAGAUAUUUAUGACGCACAGGGACACAGGAUCUCUUUAAAGGAGAUGGCUGGCAGCCUCUGUGCAGGGUCUGUAGAUGGCUAGUUGAGUCUGCUUUCCUCUGCUGGUUUGGGCCUUCUGCCUCAGGCUAAGACAAAAAAUGUCACUGCUCCAUCUGAAUUUGCCAAAUUCUGCGUCCCAAAGCCACAAAUAUGUUUCUUCUUUUCGUACUGAAAUACCCCUGCAUUUUGGAACUGUGUAAAGUUGUACUAUAAAGUAAAACGGCCAACUCCUCUUUGUGAUUGAAUA